rnacentral:rRNA from 1 species
GUCCCUACGGGAGGCAGCAGUGAGGAAUAUUGGUCAAUGGACGAGAGUCUGAACCAGCCAAGUAGCGUGAAGGAUGACUGCCCUAUGGGUUGUAAACUUCUUUUAUAUGGGAAUAAAACGUUCCACGUGUGGGAUUUUGUAUGUACCAUAUGAAUAAGGAUCGGCUAACUCCGUGCCAGCAGCCGCGGUAAUACGGAGGAUCCGAGCGUUAUCCGGAUUUAUUGGGUUUAAAGGGUGCGCAGGCGGGCUGUUAAGCCAGCGGUAAAAAUUCAGGGCUCAACCCUGUCGAGCCGUCGGAACUGGCA